GCGGGCGUGGCGAAAUUGGUAGACGCGCCAGAUUUAGGUUCUGGUAUCUAGCGAUGUGGGGGUUCAAGUCCCUCCGCCCGCACCA
rnacentral:tRNA from 1 species